AGAAACCCUAUAAUCCCCAAAUCUAAAACCCUAGUCUCCAUUAGCAACAUCCCUGCACCAGAAACUCGAACAAAAAUGGCAUGGCGAGGUUCAAUCUCCAGAACUUUAAUGUCCACCGCAAGAUCUUCAUCUUUCCGAUCCACCGCCCCGCUCCCCCGCCUCCGUCCUCCGCCGCUCUCCGCUCCCCGUCUCCACUCUCGCCGCCUCGGCAACCCUAGGAUGUUGGGAGAAUUAGGAUGCGCGCAGUCUCUGAUGACGAUUGCUGGAGCACGGAUGACGUCACACUUGACGGUUAAUGUGCGCGCGUUUUGCGAGUUGUCGAAUGGUACCUUCUGCCGCUCUUGUCAGGAUCGCUAGUAGUGAGCCUUGGUUGAAUGGAAAAGAUGGGUGAUAUCCAGAAAUUUCAAGCAUCAAAUGGCACUACAGGCAAUACAACAUUGUACUUGAUGAGUGUUUGGUUUAUGAAAGAUUUGCGGAGUGUGUUUAAGGGAAAGUAGCUUGAUCCAUUGGAGCAAUUUGUGUUUUUUUGACAAUAAGAUUUAGAUACUUUUGCCCAGCCUAAAGACUGGUUUGGUUGGUUGGUUUUAGACAUGUAGAUUAUGAUAGCUUUUAAUUCUUAUAUUCUCUUUAACUUCAUUUAUUACAUUCUGAAUUAUAAUACUGAGUUA